rnacentral:rRNA from 1 species
UGGGGAAUUUUGGACAAUGGGGGAAACCCUGAUCCAGCCAUCCCGCGUGUGCGAUGAAGGCCUUCGGGUUGUAAAGCACUUUUGGCAGGAAAGAAACGUCAUGGGUUAAUACCCCGUGAAACUGACGGUACCUGCAGAAUAAGCACCGGCUAACUACGUGCCAGCAGCCGCGGUAAUACGUAGGGUGCAAGCGUUAAUCGGAAUUACUGGGCGUAAAGCGUGCGCAGGCGGUUCGGAAAGAAAGAUGUGAAAUCCCAGAGCUCAACUUUGGAACUGCAUUUUUAACUACCGGGCUAGAGUGUGUCAGAGGGAGGUGGAAUUCCGCGUGUAGCAGUGAAAUGCGUAGAUAUGCGGAGGAACACCGAUGGCGAAGGCAGCCCCCUGGGAUAACACUGACGCUCAUGCACGAAAGCGUGGGGAGCAAACAGG